UGCAGUCGAGCGCAGGAAGCAAGUUGAUCCCCUUCGGGGGUGACGCUUGUGGAAUGAGCGGCGGACGGGUGAGUAACACGUGGGCAACCUGCCUGUAAGACUGGGAUAACCCCGGGAAACCGGGGCUAAUACCGGAUAAUACUUUCUUUUGCAUAAAGGAAAGUUGAAAGGCGGCUUCGGCUGUCACUUACAGAUGGGCCCGCGGCGCAUUAGCUAGUUGGUGAGGUAACGGCUCACCAAGGCGACGAUGCGUAGCCGACCUGAGAGGGUGAUCGGCCACACUGGGACUGAGACACGGCCCAGACUCCUACGGGAGGCAGCAGUAGGGAAUCUUCCGCAAUGGACGAAAGUCUGACGGAGCAACGCCGCGUGAGUGAUGAAGGUUUUCGGAUCGUAAAACUCUGUUGUUAGGGAAGAACAAGUACGAUAGUAACUGAUCGUACCUUGACGGUACCUAACCAGAAAGCCACGGCUAACUACGUGCCAGCAGCCGCGGUAAUACGUAGGUGGCAAGCGUUGUCCGGAAUUAUUGGGCGUAAAGCGCUCGCAGGCGGUCCUUUAAGUCUGAUGUGAAAUCUCGCGGCUCAACCGCGAACGGUCAUUGGAAACUGGAGGACUUGAGUACAGAAGAGGAGAGUGGAAUUCCACGUGUAGCGGUGAAAUGCGUAGAGAUGUGGAGGAACACCAGUGGCGAAGGCGACUCUCUGGUCUGUAACUGACGCUGAGGAGCGAAAGCGUGGGGAGCGAACAGGAUUAGAUACCCUGGUAGUCCACGCCGUAAACGAUGAGUGCUAGGUGUUAGGGGGUUUCCGCCCCUUAGUGCUGAAGUUAACGCAUUAAGCACUCCGCCUGGGGAGUACGGCCGCAAGGCUGAACUCAAAAGAAUUGACGGGGGCCCGCACAAGCGGUGGAGCAUGUGGUUUAAUU
rnacentral:rRNA from 1 species